CGAACGGGGGUCGGCCUUUCGGGGUUGGCCUUAGUGGCAGACGGGUGAGUAACACGUGGGAACCUGCCCUGGAGUGGGGGACAACCGCUGGAAACGGCGGCUAAUACCGCAUAUCCCCUGAGGGGGAAAGGCUUCGGCCGCUCUGGGAGGGGCCCGCGUCCGAUUAGCUUGUUGGUGGGGUAACGGCUUACCAAGGCGACGAUCCAUAGCUGGUUUGAGAGAAUGAUCAGCCACACUGGGACUGAGACACGGCCCAG
rnacentral:rRNA from 1 species